rnacentral:rRNA from 1 species
AGCGAACGCUGGCGGCAGGCCUAACACAUGCAAGUCGAACGGAUCCUUCGGGAUUAGUGGCGGACGGGUGAGUAACACGUGGGAACGUGCCCUUUGGUUCGGAACAACUCAGGGAAACUUGAGCUAAUACCGGACGUGCCCUUCGGGGGUAAGAUUUAUCGCCAUUGGAGCGGCCCGCGUCUGAUUAGCCAGUUGGUGAGGUAACGGCCCACCAAGGCGACGAUCAGUAGCUGGUCUGAGAGGAUGAUCAGCCACACUGGGACUGAGACACGGCCCAGACUCCUACGGGAGGCAGCAGUGGGGAAUCUUGCGCAAUGGGCGAAAGCCUGACGCAGCCAUGCCGCGUGAAUGAUGAAGGUCUUAGGAUUGUAAAAUUCUUUCAGCGGGGACGAUAAUGACGGUACCCGCAGAAGAAGCUCCGGCUAACUUCGUG